AGUGAACGCUGGCGGUAGGCCUAACACAUGCAAGUCGAACGGCAGCACAGUAAGAGCUUGCUCUUACGGGUGGCGAGUGGCGGACGGUUGAGGAAUACAUCGGAAGCUACGUUUUCUUGGGUGAGAACGUAGGGAAACUUACGCUAAUACCGCAUACGACCUACGUGUGAAAGCAGGGGAUCUUCGGACCUUGCGCGAUUCAAUGAGCCGAUGUCGGAUUAGCUAGUUGGCGGGGUAAAGGCCCACCAAGGCGACGAUCCGUAGCUGGUCUGAGAGGAUGAUCAGCCACACUGGAACUGAGACACGGUCCAGACUCCUACGGGAGGCAGCAGUGGGGAAUAUUGGACAAUGGGCGAAAGCCUGAUCCAGCCAUACCGCGUGGGUGAAGAAGGCCUUCGGGUUGUAAAGCCCUUUUGUUGGGAAAGAAAAGCAGCAGGUUAAUACCCCGCUGUUCUGACGGUACCAAAAGAAUAAGCACCGGCUAACUUCGUG
rnacentral:rRNA from 1 species